rnacentral:misc_RNA from 1 species
CGAGAAGUAUCCUCAAGUUUACACUAGUGAUGACAAGUUCCUGAUAGAUGUUGAAUCAGUUACGGUGGAAAAGUAUCAUUUUCUAGAGGCCAUGACAACAAUCACUCCAGCUGCACAUAGAGGCUCAAUUGUGCACUCUAGGCCAUUAUCUUCUGUUGUUGCACCUUGUCUACAUGGACCUCUCCGGAAAGCUAUGAGCAUCAUUUCAGAUAUUUUUCCUCUUUCAGUUUCUUCAGAAUUGAGUAAACUUUCCAUGCUCUCCUAUGGUUCUGCUAUUCCUCUUGUGUACAGACCUCGGCUUCUGCUCUGUGGUGGUGAAGGUGUUGGGCUGGAUCAUG